UACGGAGGGUGCGAGCGUUGUCCGGAAUUAUUGGGCGUAAAGAGCUCGUAGGCGGUCUGUCGCGUCGGCUGUGAAAAUCCAGGGCUCAACCCUGGACCUGCAUUCGAUACGGGCAGACUAGAGUUCGGUAGGGGAGACUGGAAUUCCUGGUGUAGCGGUGAAAUGCGCAGAUAUCAGGAGGAACACCGAUAGCGAAGGCAGCUCGCUGGGACGGUACUGACGCUGAGGUGCGAAAGCGUGGGGAGCGAACAGG
rnacentral:rRNA from 1 species